rnacentral:lncRNA from 1 species
CGCUUAAUGCGUUAAAGUGUAGUUACGUCACUCACUGCUUCGUAUGCUGCAGUUGGCGCUUCCGGGCAACUGCAG